rnacentral:rRNA from 1 species
AUACGGAGGGGGUUAGCGUUGUUCGGAAUUACUGGGCGUAAAGCGUACGUAGGCGGACUGGAAAGUUGGGGGUGAAAUCCCGGGGCUCAACCCCGGAACUGCCUCCAAAACUUCCAAUCUAGAGAUCGAGAGAGGUGAGUGGAAUUCCAAGUGUAGAGGUGAAAUUCGUAGAUAUUUGGAGGAACACCAGUGGCGAAGGCGGCUCACUGGCUCGAUACUGACGCUGAGGUACGAAAGCGUGGGGAGCAAACAGGAUUAGAAACCCGUGUAGUCC